UCGAACGGUAGCACAGAGAGCUUGCUCUCGGGUGACGAGUGGCGGACGGGUGAGUAAUGUCUGGGAAACUGCCUGAUGGAGGGGGAUAACUACUGGAAACGGUAGCUAAUACCGCAUAACGUCGCAAGACCAAAGAGGGGGACCUUCGGGCCUCUUGCCAUCAGAUGUGCCCAGAUGGGAUUAGCUAGUAGGUGGGGUAACGGCUCACCUAGGCGACGAUCCCUAGCUGGUCUGAGAGGAUGACCAGCCACACUGGAACUGAGACACGGUCCAGACUCCUACGGGAGGCAGCAGUGGGGAAUAUUGCACAAUGGGCGCAAGCCUGAUGCAGCCAUGCCGCGUGUAUGAAGAAGGCCUUCGGGUUGUAAAGUACUUUCAGCGGGGAGGAAGGUGUUGUGGUUAAUAACCGCAGCAAUUGACGUUACCCGCAGAAGAAGCACCGGCUAACUCCGUGCCAGCAGCCGCGGUAAUACGGAGGGUGCAAGCGUUAAUCGGAAUUACAGG
rnacentral:rRNA from 1 species